CAUGCAAGUCGAACGGAAACCUUCGGGUUUUAGUGGCGAACGGGUGAGUAACACGUAAGCAACCUGCCCUUAAGACGAGGAUAACAAUUGGAAACAGUUGCUAAGACUGGAUAGGAAAAGUAAAGGCAUCUUUACUUUUUUAAAAGACCUUCUUUGAAGGUAUGCUUAAGGAGGGGCUUGCGACACAUUAGUUAGUUGGCAGGGUAAAGGCCUACCAAGACUAUGAUGUGUAGCUGGACUGAGAGGUUGAACAGCCACAUUGGGACUGAGACACGGCCCAAACUCCUACGGGAGGCAGCAGUAGGGAAUUUUCGGCAAUGGAGGAAACUCUGACCGAGCAACGCCGCGUGAACGAUGAAGUACCUCGGUAUGUAAAGUUCUUUUAUUAAGGAAGAAAAAAGAGUGGAAAAACUCCCUUGACGGUACUUAAUGAAUAAGCCCCGGCUAAUUAUGUGCCAGCAGCCGCGGUAAUACAUAAGGGGCGAGCGUUAUCCGGAAUUAUUGGGCGUAAAGGGUGCGUAGGCGGUUUAAUAAGUCUAURGUUUAAUUUCAGUGCUUAACGCUGUUGUGCUAUAGAAACUGUUUUACUAGAGUGAGUUAGAGGCAAGCGGAAUUCCAUGUGUAGCGGUAAAAUGCGUAAAUAUAUGGAGGAACACCAGAGGCGUAGGCGGCUUGCUGGGACUUUACUGACGCUGAGGCACGAAAGCGUGGGGAGCAAACAGGAUUAGAUACCCUGGUAGUCCACGCCGUAAACGAUGAGUACUAAGUGUCGGGUAAAACCGGUACUGAAGUUAACACAUUAAGUACUCCGCCUGAGUAGUACGUACGCAAGUAUGAAACUUAAAGGAAUUGACGGGACUCCGCACAAGCGGUGGAUCAUGUUGUUUAAUUCGAAGAUACACGAAAAACCUUACCAGGUCUUGACAUUUUCUUGCGAAGUUAUAGAAAUAUAAUGGAGGUUAUCAGGAAAACAGGUGGUGCAUGGUUGUCGUCAGCUCGUGUCGUGAGAUGUUAGGUUAAGUCCUAAAACGAGCGCAACCCUUGUUGUUAAUUGCCAGCAUGUAAUGAUGGGGACUUUAACGAGACUGCCAAUGAAAAAUUGGAGGAAGGUGGGGAUUACGUCAAAUCAUCAUGCCCCUUAUGAUCUGGGCUACAAACGUGAUACAAUGGUUGAUACAAAGAGUAGCUGAAACGCGAGUUCUUAGCCAAUCUCACAAAAUCAAUCUCAGUUCGGAUUGAAGUCUGCAACUCGACUUCAUGAAGUUGGAAUCGCUAGUAAUCGCGAAUCAGCAUGUCGCGGUGAAUACGUUCUCGGGGUUUGUACACACCGCCCGUCAAACCACGAAAGUUGGCAAUACCCCAAAGCGGUCACCUAACUUCGCAAGAAGAAGGAUCCGUCUAAGGUAGGGUCGAUGAUUGGGGUUAAG
rnacentral:rRNA from 1 species